rnacentral:rRNA from 1 species
GAUGAACGCUGGCGGCGUGCCUAAUACAUGCAAGUCGAGCGAACAGAUGAGGAGCUUGCUCCUCUGACGUUAGCGGCGGACGGGUGAGUAACAAGUGGAUAACCUACCUAUAAGACUGGGAUAACUUCGGGAAACCGGAGCUAAUACCGGAUAAUAUAUUGAACCGCAUGGUUCAAUAGUGAAAGACGGUUUUGCUGUCACUUAUAGAUGGAUCCGCGCCGCAUUAGCUAGUUGGUAAGGUAACGGCUUACCAAGGCAACGAUGCGUAGCCGACCUGAGAGGGUGAUCGGCCACACUGGAACUGAGACACGGUCCAGACUCCUACGGGAGGCAGCAGUAGGGAAUCUUCCGCAAUGGGCGAAAGCCUGACGGAGCAACGCCGCGUGAGUGAUGAAGGUCUUCGGAUCGUAAAACUCUGUUAUUAGGGAAGAACAAAUGUGUAAGUAACUAUGCACGUCUUGACGGUACCUAAUCAGAAAGCCACGGCUAACUACGUG